CACACAUACACACACAGGAGUGCAUCACUACAGGACUCAACACUACAGAGCCCUCAAAUGCCUCUAAAUGAAACUACUCAAUCCCAGUCAUCCGAUACACACCCUGCUCAACCACUGCAGCUUCAGACUGGACAAUGACGUAGCUAAAGAAUCAUGUGUCUAGAUAUAGCUCUUGGAUCAGUACAGAAAUUGAGACUCAUCCACUAGGCUAUUUCACAGAGAUCUACAAAUAUCUGUUAUGAAGCAUCACUGCUCUGCUCAUUACUAUUAUUAACAGGAAACCUAAUAAGGCAAACAGAGCUCAUUUCUCGACACAAACGUAUCAGAGCUUAACAGUGUACAGGGCUUAAAGCACCAGCAGAAAUCAGCCAUGUUUUGGAGGAUACGAUCAUGUGAAGGAAAACAGGUAUGUGUGGCUCUCUGGAAAGAGGUCAUGUUUGAAGGCUCAAAUAUCACCUGCUAUAUGUUCUUCUGCUGAAAAUGGACAAUCUCUAAAGAGUAAAAAGAGGGAGUUUCCCCAAAUACGUUCAAACAUCCUGUUCACAAAGAGUCAAGGGCAUCCAUGCCAAGUCUGCACAUAACCUCAAUCCACAGGUCAAAGGGUCACAUGGUAAUGUGAUGAUCAAUAAACUCUACUCACAUCCAAAUGCUAAAGUAAGAAUUCCGGCUUGAGUUUCUUAAGAACAUUAUUAACAUGCAUCUGCUAUGACAAAAAUGAUGUGAGAUACGAAAAAGCAUAUUUAGGGCCAUUUAGGUAUUUCAACCAGAUCUCAUAUCAAAUCACUAUGAUCAAACAAUGUGCACCUUAAAGGUAUGUAUAUUUGAAUAUUUUGACUGAAUAUUUUCCUGAGUCCUAGUUGUGUCUGUA